rnacentral:lncRNA from 1 species
CCCUAGACCGGAGGGAGGCGAGAGGAGGAGGCAGAAGAGGAGGUAGAGGAGGACCCGGAGGUGUGAGCUGGUCGGGACUUGACUUUGAUGAACUGAAAAUGCCAUCAAGAAGUGGCUGUCAUCUCCCCGGGCUGUGCUAAGUGAGCUAGGUUCAGAGCUGUGGAACCGGAAAGUUGUGUCUGUGUCUCAGCCUCCUGAGACGUUUGUCAUCCUCUGUACCUAUUUGGAGAUGUCCUUUAAGUUCCCAUCCCUGGUGACAGCCUGGGAAACACAAAAGCUCUAAUUAAAGACUGUCCUGAGCCACACUUUCUGGAGGAGCGCGGCCAAGCAGUGGCCCCACAACCUGCACCAAGACCUUUUUUUCGGGUCCUCCAGGGGUGCACUCAGGCUGGGGCUUAAACCCU